rnacentral:rRNA from 1 species
UACGAAGGGGGCUAGCGUUGCUCGGAAUCACUGGGCGUAAAGCGCACGUAGGCGGUCUCUUAAGUCGGUGGUGAAAUCCUGGAGCUCAACUCCAGAACUGCCUUCGAUACUGGGAGUCUUGAGUCCGGGAGAGGUGAGUGGAACUGCGAGUGUAGAGGUGAAAUUCGUAGAUAUUCGCAAGAACACCAGUGGCGAAGGCGGCUCACUGGCCCGGUACUGACGCUGAGGUGCGAAAGCGUGGGGAGCAAACAGG